CCUACGGGGGGCAGCAGUGAGGAAUAUUGGUCAAUGGGCGAAAGUCUGAACCAGCCAAGUAGCGUGCAGGAUGACGGCCCUAUGGGUUGUAAACUGCUUUUAUAUGGGAAUAAAGCGCUUUACGUGUAGGGCUUUGCAUGUACCGUAUGAAUAAGGAUCGGCUAAUUCCGUGCCAGCAGCCGCGGUAAUACGGAGGGUCCGGGCGUUAUCCGGAUUUAUUGGGUUUAAAGGGAGCGUAGGCGGAGUGUUAAGCGAGUUGUGAAAUGUGCGGGCUCAACCCGAGACUUGCAGGUGAAACUGGCGGGCUUGAGUACGGGAGAGGUAGGCGGAAUUCGUGGUGUAGCGGUGAAAUGCUUAGAUAUGACGAAGAACCCCGAUUGCGAAGGCAGUUUGCUGGAGCGGAACUGACGCUGAGGCUCGAAAGCGCGGGUAUCGAACAGGAUUAGAUACCCUAGUAGUC
rnacentral:rRNA from 1 species